GACGAAAGCUGGCGGCGUGCUUAACACAUGCAAGUCGAACGAUGAAGCUAGAGCUUGCUCUGGUGAAUUAGUGGCGAACGGGUGAGUAACACGUGAGUAACCUGCCCCGAACUCUGGGAUAACUGCUGGAAACUGUAGCUAAUACCGGAUACUUUCACUGGAAGGCAUCUUCUGGUGAAGCAAGAAUUUCGGUCAAGGAUGAGCUCGCGGCCUAUCAGCUUGUUGGUGAGGUAACGGCUCACCAACGCGACGACGGGUAGCCGGCCUGGGAGGGUGACCGGCCACACUGGGACUGAGACACGGCCCAGACUCCUACGGGAGGCAGCAGUGGGGAAUAUUGCACAAUGGGCGCAAGCCUGAUGCAGCAAUGCCGCGUGAGUGAUGAAGGCCUUAGGGUUGUAAAGCUCUUUCGUCCGGGACGAUAAUGACGGUACCGGAAGAAGAAGCCCCGGCUAACUUCGUGCCAGCCGCCGCGGUAA
rnacentral:rRNA from 1 species